rnacentral:rRNA from 1 species
AUUGAACGCUGGCGGCAUGCCUUACACCUGCAAGUCAAAAGGUAACAGGUCUUCGGAUGCUGACGAGUGGCGAACGGGUGAGUAAUACAUCGGAACGUGCCUAGUAGUGGGGGAUAACUACUCGAAAGAGUGGCUAAUACCGCAUGAGAUCUACGGAUGAAAGCAGGGGAUCGCAAGACCUUGUGCUACUAGAGCGGCCGAUGGCAGAUUAGGUAGUUGGUGGGAUAAAAGCUUACCAAGCCGACGAUCUGUAGCUGGUCUGAGAGGACGAUCAGCCACACUGGGACUUAGACACGGCGCGUACUCCUACGGGAGGCAGCAGUGGGGAAUUUUGGACAAUGGGCGCAAGCCUGAUCCCACAAUGCCGCGUGCAGGAUGAAGGCCUUCGGGUUGUAAACUGCUUUUGUACGGAACGAAAAGCCCCGAGUUAAGACCCUGGGGUCAUGACAGUACCGUAAGAAUAAGCACCGGCUAACUACGUGCCAGCCGCCGCAGUAA